rnacentral:rRNA from 1 species
UACAGAGGUCUCAAGCGUUGUUCGGAUUCAUUGGGCGUAAAGGGUGUGUAGGUGGCGCCGUAAGUCGGGUGUGAAAUUUCGGAGCUUAACUCCGAAACUGCAUUCGAUACUGCCGUGCUGGAGGACUGGAGAGGAGACUGGAAUUUACGGUGUAGCGGUGAAAUGCGUAGAUAUCGUAAGGAAGACCAGUGGCGAAGGCGGGUCUCUGGACAGUUCCUGACGCUGAGGCACGAAGGCCAGGGGAGCAAACGGG